GGGGGGGGGGGGGGGGGGGGCGGGGGGGGGGGGGGGGGGGGGGGGGGGGGGGCUGGCGCCGGGGGGCAGCGGGGGGCGGGGGGGGGAUGCCGGGGAGUCUGCCGGGGAGUGGGGGCUAACGGCCGGAAACGGGCGCGCAUACCGCCUACGUCCUGCGGGAGGAAGUGGGGGAUCUUCGGACCUCCCGCUCUCAGAUGAGCCUAGGUCGGAUUAGCUAGUUGGUGGGGUAAAGGCCUACCAAGGCGACGAUCCGUCACUGGUCUGAGAGGAUGAUCAGUCACACUGGAACUGAGACACGGUCCAGACUCCUACGGGAGGCAGCAGUGGGGAAUAUUGGACAAAGGGCGAAAGCCUGAUCCAGCCAUGCCGCGUGUGUGAAGAAGGUCUUCGGAUUGUAAAGCACUUUAAGUUGGGAGGAAGGGCAGUAAGUUAAUACCUUGCUGUUUUGACGUUACCAACAGAAUAAGCACCGGCUAACUUCGUG
rnacentral:rRNA from 1 species